GUCGUCAUUCAUGCUCUGUGGAGCAGAGAUGGAGCAUAGGCAUGUGGUCUGUGGGAGAGAGAUGGUUGCCUGACUGAGUACAUAGGCCAGGCCACUGGCUCUGCCUCACAACACCUCACAUUAGGUUAAUUUUCCAUUUCAUCGCAGUUGAUUUAGUGCUUAAGGAUAUGACCUUGAAGACCAGAUGUCAAGAGCAUUACGUAGGAGAGGAGCCGUGAGGAGAGAAGAGAGAAGUGGCUUGCAGCAUGGAGCGUUGGGGACGAAGUUAGAGAGGAAGGAGCGGAGCAGAUGGGUUAAUCGAGGUCAGCGAGGGAUGCUAAUAUUCAAAAGGAAGAACAAAGAGAGAAGGAGAAUGAGAGACACUCACUAGAAAGUCUUUCUCUGGACUGCAUCAAACUGGUAGAGUAAAUGCACACGGACGCACAGAAUGUUUUUCAGCACCACUGACACACUCUAACUUCGUGCAAACAAUUCAACUCGCUGUCACGUCAGUGUGCACACAGCAUGUACGCACACACAAACACUGUGACAUUAAGCAUGCCUUACUGAAACUCAUGACUCUAAGCAGGUCUUUCUGAAAUGCUUCUUAAUUUUAGGAGUGCACAUCACUCCUUAAAUGAAACAAUUAUAGUUUGGGAUACGGUCAAGAACUGUGUCAAGAAUUCAGGGCGCUUUCCGCUCUGUGCUAGAAGGUUGGACCCCAUGUUUUCUGAAAAACUGAGUGCCUGAAGUCAAAGAUCAGCAGGGAUGGUGUGGUGGGCCAUGAGAGC